ACCUAGACUGUCUUGGUGACUUGCAAGCAACUCACUGGGCUUUGGUGCUAGACUAUCCAAAUUUUUAAUUCGAUGGUGGAAGAUUUUGGGUACAGUCAAGUACUUAUGAAGUCUGAGUGCGAGUCAAGAUGGAAUUGAUCGCUCCAAGUAAAAUUGAAGAUGAUGCAUCAUUGUAUUUCAAUUCAAUAAAAUUUUGAUCAAAAUAGUCCUAGUGAGA
rnacentral:lncRNA from 1 species